AGACGUCUACAUUUAGAUACCCCUGUAGUCCCAGCCGUAAACUAUGCUCGCUAGGUGUCAGGCAUGGCGCGACCGUGUCUGGUGCCGCAGGGAAGCCGUGAAGCGAGCCACCUGGGAAGUACGGCCGCAAGGCUGAACUUAAAGGAAUUGGCGGGGGAGCACCACAACGGGUGGAGCCUGCGGUUUAAUUGGACUCAACGCCGGGAAGCUCACCGGAUAAGACAGCGGAAUGAUUGCCGGGCUGAAGACUCUGCAUGACUAGCUG
rnacentral:rRNA from 1 species